rnacentral:rRNA from 1 species
AUUGAACGCUGGCGGCAGGCCUAACACAUGCAAGUCGAGCGGGGUUUUCGGACCUAGCGGCGGACGGGUGAGUAAUGCGUAGGAAGCUGCCCGAUAGAGGGGGAUACCAGUUGGAAACGACUGUUAAUACCGCAUAAUGUCUACGGACCAAAGUGUGGGACCUUCGGGCCACAUGCUAUCGGAUGCGCCCACGUGGGAUGAGGUAGUUGGUGAGGUAAUGGCUCACCAAGGCGACGAUCGCUAGCUGGUCUGUGAGGAUGACCAGCCACACUGGAACGGAGACACGGCCCAGACUCCUACGGGAGGCAGCGGUGGGGAAUAUUGGACAAUGGGCGAAAGCCUGAUCCGGCCAUGCCGCGUGUGUGAAGAAGGCCUUCGGGUUGUAAAGCACUUUCAGCGAGGAGGAAGGGGUGUGUGUUAAUAGUACACACCUUUGACGUUACUCGCAGAAGAAGCACCGGCUAACUCUGUGCCAGCAGCCGCAGUAACAC